rnacentral:rRNA from 1 species
UCUGGGUCACCUCCCACCCGUGUUUAUUUUACCUUGUUGCUUCGGCGGGCCCGCCUUAACUGGCCGCCGGGGGGCUUACGCCCCCGGGCCCGCGCCCGCCGAAGACACCCUCGAACUCUGUCUGAAGAUUGUAGUCUGAGUGAAAAUAUAAAUUAUUUAAAACUUUCAACAACGGAUCUCUUGGUUCCGGCAUCGAUGAAGAACGCAGCGAAAUGCGAUACGUAAUGUGAAUUGCAAAUUCAGUGAAUCAUCGAGUCUUUGAACGCACAUUGCGCCCCCUGGUAUUCCGGGGGGCAUGCCUGUCCGAGCGUCAUUUCUGCCCUCAAGCACGGCUUGUGUGUUGGGCCCCGUCCUCCGAUCCCGGGGGACGGGCCCGAAAGGCAGCGGCGGCACCGCGUCCGGUCCUCGAGCGUAUGGGGCUUUGUCACCCGCUCUGUAGGCCCGGCCGGCGCUUGCCGAUCAACCCAAAUUUUUAUCCAGGUUGACCUCGGAUCAGGUAGGGAUACCCGCUGAACUUAAGCAUAUCAAUAAGAGGAGGAA